AACCACACUGUUCAAAUGUAACACACACAGCCAGGAACCACACUGUUCAAAUGUAACACACAGGGCCAGGUACCACACUGUUCAAAUGUAACACACACAGCCAGGAACCACACUGUUCAAAUGUAACACACACAGCCAGGUACCACACUGUUCAAAUGUAACACACACAGCCAGGUACCACACUGUUCAAAUGUAACACACACAGCCAGGAACCACACUGUUCAAAUGUAACACACACAGCCAGGAACCACACUGUUCAAAUGUAACACACACAGCCAGGUACCACACUGUUCAAAUGUAACACACACAGCCAGGUACCACACUGUUCAAAUGUAACACACACAGCCAGGUACCACACUGUUCAAAUGUAACACACAGGGCCAGGAACCACACUGUUCAAAUGUAACACACACAGCCAGGUACCACACUGUUCAAAUGUAACACACAGGGCCAGGUACCACACUGUUCAAAUGUAACACACACAGCCAGGUACCACACUGUUCAAAUGUAACACACAGGGCCAGGAACCACACUGUUCAAAUGUAACACACAGGGCCAGGAACCACACUGUUCAAAUGUAACACACAGGGCCAGGAACCACACUGUUCAAAUGUAAUGUGGAGGGUAGUGAAGGGUUACUGAACCUACAGCUGGAUGAGGAGGGUAGUGAAGGGUUACUGUACCUGCCACUCUGCAGCUGGAUGUGGAGGGUAGUGAAG